GAUUAGCUCAGCUGGUUAGAGCAUGGUGUUAAUGCUGCCAAGGUUGUGGUUUCGAUCCCCGUAUGGGCCA